rnacentral:rRNA from 1 species
CUCCUCAACUCGAAUGCGAGUCGUGCGACAGCCCGUGGCCGAGGAGACUGAUUGACCCUACGGCGAGCCCCUUCUUCUUGAGGUGAGCUUGCCACGACCGCGAC